AUUGUUCCCUGUGUUGCAAAGGCUUGUCCCGAGCGAUAUACAUUCAGGGCACUACUUCCUAAUUGUUCUGAACCUUCAGAACAACAGGUUUGAAGUCCUCGACUCUAUGAGAACACUGGAGAAUGAAGCGCUGUCACAGUGCUGCAACACAAUCACCAGCGGAAUCAAACAGUUAUGGAAAAUCUACUAUGCUCAGACAACCGAGCAAAUAGAGAACUAUGAAACUGUUCAAAUUCCAGUUCCAAAACAAACAAACAACCAUGACUGUGGGUUCCACAUGUUGAUGCAUGCUCAACAUUGGGAUGGACGUUUGGUGUGUGAGCUUCAUGGAAAUGACAUUCCUAACAUACGGAAGAUCCUGGCGCAUACAUGACUCAGCUAUGAAGAAAAUGACGUAGACUGGGAGAGCAUCUUAAAUGCAGAAUAGGCUUUAUGGCAGCGGCUUCAAAAGUGGUUCUACAACACUGGACCCAACUACAGCGUAUUUGCAUCUGUAUUUUGGGGAGAAGAUCUGCUGUUUUUUUCUUCACAUUUUUUUCUGGGGAUGAUGAUGCCACCGCAUGUGGAUCCAUGUGGUUACUGGAACCUAGAUGUUGGGGCCUUGGGGGAGGGGAAGAAUUGCAGAUGAUCGCAGUAUAAAAGACUUCGUUAUGUGUGAUGUACCUAA